rnacentral:rRNA from 1 species
UCCUCCCUCUUUCCUCGCGCCUAACACAUGCAAGUCGAACGAGCGAGAGGAGGUUUACUUUCUCAAGCGAGUGGCGAACGGGUGAGUAACGCGUGAGGAACCUGCCUCAAAGAGGGGGACAACAGUUGGAAACGACUGCUAAUACCGCAUAAGCCCACGACCCGGCAUCGGGUAGAGGGAAAAGGAGCAAUCCGCUUUGAGAUGGCCUCGCGUCCGAUUAGCUAGUUGGUGAGGUAAUGGCCCACCAAGGCGACGAUCGGUAGCCGGACUGAGAGGUUGAACGGCCACAUUGGGACUGAGACACGGCCCAGACUCCUACGGGAGGCAGCAGUGGGGAAUAUUGCACAAUGGGGGAAACCCUGAUGCAGCGACGCCGCGUGGAGGAAGAAGGUCUUCGGAUUGUAAACUCCUGUUGUUGAGGAAGAUAAUGACGGUACUCAACAAGGAAGGGACGGCUAACUACGUG